GACUAUAUAGUUCAGUGGUAGAACAUCAGCUCUGCAUGCAGAAGAUCUCAGGUUAAAUUCCCAGCAUCUGCA